rnacentral:rRNA from 1 species
GAUGAACGCUGGCGGCGUGCCUAAUACAUGCAAGUCGAGCGAACGGACGAGAAGCUUGCUUCUCUGAUGUUAGCGGCGGACGGGUGAGUAACACGUGGAUAACCUACCUAUAAGACUGGGAUAACUUCGGGAAACCGGAGCUAAUACCGGAUAAUAUUUUGAACCGCAUGGUUCAAAAGUGAAAGACGGUCUUGCUGUCACUUAUAGAUGGAUCCGCGCUGCAUUAGCUAGUUGGUAAGGUAACGGCUUACCAAGGCAACGAUGCAUAGCCGACCUGAGAGGGUGAUCGGCCACACUGGAACUGAGACACGGUCCAGACUCCUACGGGAGGCAGCAGUAGGGAAUCUUCCGCAAUGGGCGAAAGCCUGACGGAGCAACGCCGCGUGAGUGAUGAAGGUCUUCGGAUCGUAAAACUCUGUUAUUAGGGAAGAACAUAUGUGUAAGUAACUGUGCACAUCUUGACGGUACCUAAUCAGAAAGCCACGGCUAACUACGUGCCAGCAGCCGCGGUAAUACGUAGGUGGCAAGCGUUAUCCGGAAUUAUUGGGCGUAAAGCGCGCGUAGGCGGUUUUUUAAGUCUGAUGUGAAAGCCCACGGCUCAACCGUGGAGGGUCAUUGGAAACUGGAAAACUUGAGUGCAGAAGAGGAAAGUGGAAUUCCAUGUGUAGCGGUGAAAUGCGCAGAGAUAUGGAGGAACACCAGUGGCGAAGGCGACUUUCUGGUCUGUAACUGACGCUGAUGUGCGAAAGCGUGGGGAUCAAACAGGAUUAGAUACCCUGGUAGUCCACGCCGUAAACGAUGAGUGCUAAGUGUUAGGGGGUUUCCGCCCCUUAGUGCUGCAGCUAACGCAUUAAGCACUCCGCCUGGGGAGUACGACCGCAAGGUUGAAACUCAAAGGAAUUGACGGGGACCCGCACAAGCGGUGGAGCAUGUGGUUUAAUUCGAAGCAACGCGAAGAACCUUACCAAAUCUUGACAUCCUUUGACAACUCUAGAGAUAGAGCCUUCCCCUUCGGGGGACAAAGUGACAGGUGGUGCAUGGUUGUCGUCAGCUCGUGUCGUGAGAUGUUGGGUUAAGUCCCGCAACGAGCGCAACCCUUAAGCUUAGUUGCCAUCAUUAAGUUGGGCACUCUAAGUUGACUGCCGGUGACAAACCGGAGGAAGGUGGGGAUGACGUCAAAUCAUCAUGCCCCUUAUGAUUUGGGCUACACACGUGCUACAAUGGACAAUACAAAGGGCAGCGAAACCGCGAGGUCAAGCAAAUCCCAUAAAGUUGUUCUCAGUUCGGAUUGUAGUCUACAACUCGACUACAUGAAGCUGGAAUCGCUAGUAAUCGUAGAUCAGCAUGCUACGGUGAAUACGUUCCCGGGUCU